rnacentral:rRNA from 1 species
UAGAGUUUGAUCAUGGCUCAGGAUGAACGCUAGCGACAGGCUUAACACAUGCAAGUCGAGGGGCAGCGGGGGUGAUGGCUUGCCAUCACCUGCUGGCGACCGGCGCACGGGUGAGUAACACGUAUGCAACCUGCCCGCCACAGGGGGAUAAGCGGAAGAAAUUCCGUCUAAUACCGCGUGACGCGGCGUCGGGGCAUCCCGGUGCCGCCAAAGGGAUUACCGGUGGCGGAUGGGCAUGCGGCGCAUUAGCUAGUCGGCGGGGUAACGGCCCACCGAGGCGACGAUGCGUAGGGGUUCUGAGAGGAAGGUCCCCCACACUGGUACUGAGACACGGACCAGACUCCUACGGGAGGCAGCAGUGAGGAAUAUUGGUCAAUGGGCGCGAGCCUGAACCAGCCAAGUCGCGUGAGGGAAGACGGUCCUAUGGAUUGUAAACCUCUUUUGUCGGGGAGCAAAAGACGCCACGCGUGGCGUUCCGAGAGUACCCGAAGAAAAAGCAUCGGCUAACUCCGUGCCAGCAGCCGCGGUAAUACGGAGGAUGCGAGCGUUAUCCGGAUUUAUUGGGUUUAAAGGGUGCGCAGGCGGAAGAUCAAGUCAGCGGUAAAAUUGAGAGGCUCAACCUCUUCGAGCCGUUGAAACUGGUUUUCUUGAGUGAGCGAGAAGUAUGCGGAAUGCGUGGUGUAGCGGUGAAAUGCAUAGAUAUCACGCAGAACUCCGAUUGCGAAGGCAGCAUACCGGCGCUCAACUGACGCUCAUGCACGAAAGUGUGGGUAUCGAACAGGAUUAGAUACCCUGGUAGUCCACACAGUAAACGAUGAAUACUAAUUGUUCGGGGAGAAUGAUCCCUGAGUGAUACAGCGAAAGCGUUAAGUAUUCCACCUGGGGAGUACGCCGGCAACGGUGAAACUCAAAGGAAUUGACGGGGGCCCGCACAAGCGGAGGAACAUGUGGUUUAAUUCGAUGAUACGCGAGGAACCUUACCCGGGCUCAAACGACACAGGAAUACUUUUGAAAGGAAGUAGCUCUACGGAGCCUGUGUCGAGGUGCUGCAUGGUUGUCGUCAGCUCGUGCCGUGAGGUGUCGGCUUAAGUGCCAUAACGAGCGCAACCCCCAUCGCCAGUUACCAGCAAGUCAAGUUGGGGACUCUGGCGAGACUGCCGGCGCAAGCUGUGAGGAAGGCGGGGAUGACGUCAAAUCAGCACGGCCCUUACGUCCGGGGCGACACACGUGUUACAAUGGCAGGUACAGAGAGAAGCAAUGCGGCGACGCAAAGCGGAACUUGAAAGCCUGUCUCAGUUCGGAUUGGAGUCUGCAACUCGACUCCAUGAAGCUGGAUUCGCUAGUAAUCGCGCAUCAGCCAUGGCGCGGUGAAUACGUUCCCGGGCCUUGUACACACCGCCCGUCAAGCCAUGGAAGCCGGGAGUGCCUGAAGUGUGCAACCGCAAGGAGCGCCCUAAGGUAAAACUGGUGACUGGGGCUAAGUCGUAACAAGGUAGCCGUA